AUCUACGGCCAUACCACCAUGAACGUGGCUGAUCUCGUCUGAUCUCAGAAGCAAUAGGGUCUUGCUGUCAGUU
rnacentral:rRNA from 14 species